CGGUACCUGAAGAAUAAGCACCGGCUAACUACGUGCCAGCAGCCGCGGUAAUGCGUAGGGUGCAAGCGUUAAUCGGAAUUACUGGGCGUAAAGCGUGCGCAGGCGGCUUUGCAAGACAGAUGUGAAAUCCCCGGGCUCAACCUGGGAACUGCAUUUGUGACUGCAAGGCUAGAGUACGGUAGAGGGGAGUGGAAUUCCGCGUGUAGCAGUGAAAUGCGUAGAUAUGCGGAGGAACACCUUAUNGCGAANGCAGCUCCCUGGACCUGUACUGACGCUCAUGCACGAAAGCGUGGGGAGCAAACAGGAUUAGAUACCCUGGUGGUCCACGCCCUAAACGAUGUCAACUGGUUGUUGGGAGGGUUUCUUCUCANUAACGUAGCUAACGCGUGAAGUUGACCGCCCUGGGGAGUACGGG
rnacentral:rRNA from 1 species